rnacentral:rRNA from 1 species
UCCCCUAGUAGCGGCGAGCGAAGCGGGAAAAGCUCAAAUUUGUAAUCUGGCGUCUUCGACGUCCGAGUUGUAAUCUCGAGAAGUGUUUUCCGUGAUAGACCGCAUACAAGUCUCUUGGAACAGAGCGUCAUAGUGGUGAGAACCCAGUACACGAUGCGGAUGCCUAUUACUUUGUGAUACACUUUCGAAGAGUCGAGUUGUUUGGGAAUGCAGCUCAAAUUGGGUGGUAAAUUCCAUCUAAAGCUAAAUAUUGGCGAGAGACCGAUAGCGAACAAGUACCGUGAGGGAAAGAUGAAAAGCACUUUGGAAAGAGAGUUAACAGUACGUGAAAUUGUUGGAAGGGAAACACAUGCAGUGAUACUUGCUAUUCGGGGCAACUCGAUUGGCAGGCCCGCAUCAGUUUUUCGGGGCGGAAAAGCAUAGAGAGAAGGUAGCAGUUUCGGCUGUGUUAUAGCUCUUUAUUGGAUUCGCCCUGGGGGACUGAGGAACGCAGCGUGC